UACAGAGGGUGCAAGCGUUAAUCGGAAUUACUGGGCGUAAAGCGUGCGUAGACGGUUGCGUAAGUCAGAUGUGAAAGCCCUCGGCUCAACCGAGGAAGUGCAUACGAAACUGGCGAGCUUGAAUAUGGAAGAGGGUCGCGGAAUUCCCGGUGUAGAGGUGAAAUUCGUAGAUAUCGGGAGGAACACCAAUUGCGAAGGCAGCUCGCUGGGACGUUACUGACGCUGAGACGCGAAAGCGUGGGGAGCAAACAGGG
rnacentral:rRNA from 1 species